rnacentral:lncRNA from 1 species
UAGCCACCUCCUAUCCCUAUAAAUAUACUCUCAUUCUCACCAAAAAGCUAAUUCCAACACUUUGGCAAAAAUCCCAAAAUUCUCUAAACACUCUUUCUCUCUAAAUUCUAACUUUGGCAUCGGAGGUUCUUCGGCCAAAGCCCCCCCCCCCCAUUCAUCGUGGGCGCGUGAGGCUCUUGGCCUUAACCUAAGGUGUUAAUUGUUUUGUAGGUGCAAAAUCGUCCAAGAUCGAGGAGGAAGAAAUUUGC